rnacentral:lncRNA from 1 species
AUGGGACUCUAUGGCUGGCUGGACAACUCCCUCCACCCCCACAAAUGCUUAGCAACCUCUGGCAGCAACAAAACCCAGCAGGUGUCUCAGACCACAGCAGAGCUCAGAGAAGCCUCCAGAGGAAGCAGAGGAAUCAGCAUGGUGGAGUUUGCACCUUUGUUUGUGCCACUGGAACGCAGGCUGCAGACCUUCGCGGUCCUGCAGUUGAUCUUCUCUUACUUGGCCCUGCACUUGAUCUUCUGCAUAGUCUUCAUUGGCCUCCUGUUCACAAGAUUCUGGAUGAUCAGUAUCCUGUAUGCGAUCUGGUGGUACCUGGAUCGAGACACGCCACGGCAGGCGGGCAGGCAGAUUGCUUUCAUAAAGCACUGGACCAUAUGGAAGUACAUGAAGGACUAUUUCCCCAUCUCGCUGGUCAAGACUGCCGAGCUGGACCCCUCCAGGAACUACCUUGCUGGCUUCCACCCUCAUGGUGUCCUCGCCACCGGAGCUUUUAUCAACCUGUGCACAGAGGGCACGGGCUUCUCCUCUGUUUUCCCAGGCAUCCGCUCAUAUCUGAUGAUGAUGCACUGGUGUUUCUGGGUCCCUAUCUACAGGGAUUACAUCAUGUUUUCAGGGCUGGUCUCAUCAGACAAGGAAAGUGCUGAUCACAUUCUGAGCAGGAAAGGAGGCGGCAACCUGCUAUCCAUCGUUGUUGGGGGCGUCCAGGAGUCACUGACUGCCAGGCCGGGAGCCUACAAGCUGGUGCUGCGGAACCGCAAGGGCUUCAUCAGGCUCGCCCUGAUGCACGGGGCAGAUCUGGUGCCGAUCUUCUCCUUUGGGGAGAAUGACAUCUAUGAGCAGGUUGAGAACUCUCCUGGUUCCUGGUUGCGGUGGUUUCAAGACCAACUUCACAAGAGCAUUAGAGGUUCCAUCCCUGCCUUCUAUGGCCGUGGAAUCUUCCAGUACAGCUUUGGUCUUAUGCCCUACCGCCGACCCAUCACCACUGUGGUGGGGAAACCCAUCGAGGUGCAGAAGACACUGCAUCCCUCCCAGGAGGAGGUGGACAGGCUUCACCAGCGCUACAUGAAGGAGCUGGAAAAUCUCUUCGAAGCCCACAAGCUCAAGUACAAUGUUCCCAGAGACCAACACUUGGAGAUCUGCUGAGCACCUCCCCAGAGGAAGGGCUCCUCCAAAAGGCAGGGCUGGCAUCAGGGAGGAUGGAGGGAGAUGCUGUGAUCCCAGAAGUUUUCCUGGAGGUGUCUGUUGAACACAACUCCAGAGCCUUCACUGGCCUCUGAAGCUCCAUCCCAUACCAGGCCUUGGGUCACCGAUGGCUUCUGGGAGAGGAGACCAGACUCUGGCAUCAGUGAUUUGCUCUCCUGC